rnacentral:rRNA from 1 species
AUGAGGGCAGCCGCACGUGCCCUGCGGCUCGACAGAUGGACCCAACUGAAAUUUAAUGGAAGCAUCCAUGCCAACAAACAGGAGAGUGUGAUAAAGCCACUCGUAGAGCGGAGACGCCACAGAGCAGAGCAGAGCGGAGGAGCAGAAGGAAAGGAAAGAAGAGCGAGGAGGGAGGGAGACGCCGGAGGGGAAGGAAGCACGACCGCAGAGAAUUCAGAUCAAAGCAAAGGUUUAUAUCCCUCUCCCCUCUCUCUGACGCAGACGUCGUCGACCCCUUUUUCUCCUCUGAUAUUUCAGUGA